rnacentral:rRNA from 1 species
AUACGGAGGGGGUUAAGCGUUGUUCGGAAUUACUGGGCGUAAAAGCGCACGUAGGCGGGAUCAGAAAAGUUGGGGGGUGAAAUCCCGGGGCUCAACCCCGGAACUGCCUCCAAAAACUCCUGGUCUUGAGUUCGAGAGAGGUGAGUGGAAUUCCGAGUGUAGAGGUGAAAUUCGUAGAUAUUCGGAGGAACACCAGUGGCGAAGGCGGCUCACUGGCUCGAUACUGACGCUGAGGUGCGAAAGUGUGGGGAGCAAAACAGGAUUAGAUACCCGGAGUC